AUAUUUCUUUUCUUACUGCGUUAAUGCAGAGUGACAGGCAUCAACACUGAUGCUAUGAUGCAUCAUUUCUUAUUCUGUGAAUGUUGAGAGAUGACUAUCCCUUUUAACGCAACAUUUGUAUGACUAUAAUUCUCAUAUGUAUGAAUGCCGAGAUACAAUAAUCCAAUUGCGACAGGUAAUAUCCUUUACUUCUCUUAUUGUAUGACUGCUGAGAGAUGACCAUUUGAGCAAAUGCUAUUUACACACUGUGCAUUUUUCUUACUUUUUUUAACUCCUCAAAGAGACGAUAGUUAGGCAUAUUUAUGUAUCGUAGUGUUGCACUAUUUAUGUCACGCUACGCAUCUUCUUAUUAUUCCAAUAGUAUACUGAGAGAUGAUCGUCACAAGUAAGUUUAUUCCUCUUCGUGUGUCACAGUGAGUGACAGGCGUGCACACUGAUGCAGUGAUCAAGAAUGAUUUGUGCAGAUGCUGAGUUCUACAACUACGUUGCUCUUGUUAUUGUGCAAAUGUUGAGUGACAACUCCACUCCUACUUGCUACGUGGUAAGUUAAGUAGUCAUAGAGUGUAAGCAACAUGGACUGACUCCUAUAACGGGUUGCAGCUGUAGAUUCAUGUCUUUCUUUGGUCAAUGCAUCUCUCAUUUCUGGUCAAUAUUGCAGACGCUCGUUUAACGUGUGAUGUGCUGUUACGGUGUUUGACGUCCACUGACGGUAAACGGGCCAGGUGAGUCGGUGGGGUGGAGGGGGGUCUCAGCGCUCCGACCCUGAACCCCCUCCCAACCUUCCCCACACCCACACCCCGUGGCCCCUCCCCUCCCCGGCGAGAGCGGAGCAAAAGCGGAGGAGGAGCAGCGCGGCGCCUCACUCGACAGCUUCAGCUCCGCAGAGAGGAGCUCCACUCCCGGCCCGAGCUCGCCUUCACCUCCCGCCCUUUUAUUUUUUUUCAACCCCCCCCCCCCUCCACUCCCGCGCUAAAGCAAGCAAAGGAAGAGGAAGAGGAGGAUAAUUGCGUUUCUGGUGACCGCCCUGUGGGAUCAUGGGAUAUAUGACCUCAUCAUUCAUCUGCCAGCUUCUUCACUGAGCGUAGACGUGCAAUGGACAAAGCAGCGGAGGCGGACCACACCUGCCACGCGGUGUCGUGUGAUGUCAUCGCUAGCCCCCCGCCCCCCCACCCCUGCGUCGCCAUGCCCACCCAGGGGGAGGAGGACGACAAAGACAGCAAGCAGGUAUACUUGGAUACUUGUCCAGGCAGAGCGACAGGAAAAUUGUCGCCGGCGGACUCAAUAAUUUCCACAUUCAGAUGAACGUGGGAAAUCGCCGGGCUGAGGGUUUAACACCCAACUCGCUACCCCCGCAUUGUCAAUGUCGCUGGCCCGCCUCUGCUACGGCUCUGACGCUACUUUCAAAUUUGCUAGGUCGACGCCGCCCUCCCCCUCAUUAUUUCACGGUUUUCUUUUUAUACGGAACCGCCACGGGGGAUUAAAAAAA